AGCUGAGAAGUUCUGGGAAAGAGUGGCUGGCAGGACUGUCCCCACCAUGACCACAGAUCUCUGAGUCUGGCCAGGACACCAGCCCUCUGGUCUUCCUUACACUAGGGCCAGUAGAGCUCACAGCUGUAACAGCCAGGACCCACUGGAA